UACGUAGGGUGCAAGCGUUAAUCGGAAUUACUGGGCGUAAAGCGUGCGCAGGCGGUGAUGUAAGACAGUUGUGAAAUCCCCGGGCUCAACCUGGGAACUGCAUCUGUGACUGCAUUGCUGGAGUGCGGCAGAGGGGGAUGGAAUUCCGCGUGUAGCAGUGAAAUGCGUAGAUAUGCGGAGGAACACCGAUGGCGAAGGCAAUCCCUGGGCCUGCACUGACGCUCCAUGCACGAAAGCCGUGGGGAGCAAA
rnacentral:rRNA from 1 species